CCUAAGUCAGUGUCGUUACUGGAAAUUGAGGUCAUCGGAGACUUAUCGUGUCUGAACAUUAAGGGUAAAGCUCAACUGGAGCUAACAUGGGAUAUAAGGCCUAUCCUCGCCUAGACAUAGCCAAAACACAAAAAAAAACAAAAAAAAAAAAAACACGGGGGGUACGUGGGAUUCUACAUAUCAGUGUAACAUCUCCCCUGUACUAGGUGCGUGUAAUCUAUCAGCGUGUGUGUAGGAGGCGUGUCUAUUAUGUGGGGCCGUGCUCAAAAAAUUCUUGCGUCGAGAAGGAACCCUCCUCCGUCCUCUCUCCCCUCCCUCGCCUGCGCUACACAUUGCCCCAGGGGCUCCAGACCUUCCCUACCGAUGCUGUCGUCUCAUGGACCAGGGCAGAUAGCUCAUCCAUCUCCUUGGACUCCUCUAUUUUCCGUCGUACCUCUGAUAGAGUUGGGAUUUCCAUCCUCCCCCAGUGUGCUGCAAUGGCCCGUCGUGUAGCGAGGGCUAUUUUUGCCACUAGUUUAUUCUGUGCCCUAUGUAGUGCAUCUAGGGGUUUGGACAGCAACCAUAUCCACGGAUCCAGUGGGAGAGCCGUUUGUAAGGCUCUGGAGGUGACGUCAGCUACCCCCUUCCACAAUGCUGAAAUAUGCUCGCAUUCCCACCACAUGUGGAAGUACGUACCCUGGGCCCCACAACCUUUCCAGCACCGGUCGGAGGUCGAUUGUCGCAUCUGUUUGAGCUUGAGGGGGGUAACAUACCAUCUGAGCAGGGUCUUAUACGCCUGCUCCUUGUG